UCAGCUGAAGUUUCUUUUUUAUCAGAUGGUGUCAGAAGCGGGAUCUGAAGUGGAGCUUCUAGCAUGCCCCAGCAGCGCUGAGUGAACACGCAAGGUACCUGCAGGACCCACUUGUGUCCAUUGACCUCUCAGAGCCACUGGGGAUCAUGGGUGCAAACAGUGUCACCGUGAACUACUGGACAGAUGUACCCUGCACGCUGGCUCCUAGCCAAGAAGAAAAUGGGGCCAAACGGAUUGCCAAGCCAUGCACUGUGAGCAGAUGCUUCAAAAGGACCAAGAGGCUUCCGCCCAGAGGGCCUUUCUAUAAUUUAUGCAAAGAACACAAAUGGGCUGUUAACCCUAGCCAAAUUUACAACAUCGAUGCAAUUUGGAGAUAUUCUCCAUUAAGUGUUAUUCCCACAUGACUCAGGAACAGAGGUGAGUCAGCAGAGAGCGUACAACUGAGGAGCUUUCAUAAAUCAUAAAUCACAGGAUUUACAAUUGGGUGAAAUACAAGAGGAGAUAAACAACAAAGUGAGGUUUUUGAGAUAUUGGGAAUGUUGCUGACCUGUAAUACUGUUUCCCAUUGUCGAGAAGGUCCUGCUGUGGUUCCCAGUCACAAAAGCUGUGAAGGACGGAAGGGGAGCUCGCUUUGAGAAGUGAAGACCUGACUAACGACCCAGACUCAUUACCACAGUCCCUAUUUGUGGAGGUCAAUUGUUUGUGACAGAGCUUGAGUGUGGGCUAGAAACUUCUCUAAUCUGACAUCCUGUCAUGGUGGGUUUGUGAGUGCAGACUAAAGGACAUGAGACUUUGGGAGCCCAAGCACGAAUUAUCACUGCAGCCUCUUCAAGAACCUGACUCAGCAAGGAUGACUUAGCAACCAAAAGCAAGGACGCAUUUUCGAUAGUGACACCAGGUGGUAGCAACAAAAGUAAUGAAAAUUAUAAAUAAAGGCUCACAGUGCCCUGAUCAAA